rnacentral:rRNA from 1 species
CCUACGGGUGGCAGCAGUGAGGAAUAUUGGUCAAUGGACGCAAGUCUGAACCAGCCAUGCCGCGUGCAGGAAGACGGCUCUCUGAUUUGUAAACUGCUUUUGUGCGAGGGUAAACGCAGAUACGCGUAUCUGUCUGAAAGUAUCGUACGAAUAAGGAUCGGCUAACUCCGUUCCAUCAGCCGCGGUACUACGGAGGAUUCAAGCGUUAUCCGGAUUUGUUGGGUUUAAAGGGUGCGUAGGCGGUCGGAUAAGUUAGAGGUGAAGUCCCGAGGCUCAACUUGGGAAUUGCCUCCGAUACUGUUAGGCUAGAGAGUAGUUGCGGUAGGUGGAAUGUAUGGUGUAGCGGUGAAAUGCUUAGAGAUCAUACAGAAUACCGAUUGCGAAGGCAGCUUACCAAGCUACUUCUGACGUUGAGGUACGAAAGCGUGGGGAGCAAACAGGAUUAGAUACCCCUGUAGUC